AGGUACUUCAUUUUAACCGUACUGUAUUUUUGUAUCGCGCAUCUUACGGCUGGAAUCCGGAUAAUACCAAGUGCAUGAAGUCGAACUACAAAGCGAACAGCGGCCAACUUGUUCAUCGCACUAUAGAGUACUAUGGGUUCCCUACACGCGGCGGUACAUACGGAUAUCAAGUUAUGAACCUUUGGAUGAAGGUAAUCAAGCCUCCGCAAUCACAGCCGUACAUCUAUGCAGCUGAAGAACAAGAGGCAGGUAAA